CCAGACUCCUACGGGAGGCAGCAGUGGGGAAUAUUGCACAAUGGGGGAAACCCUGAUGCAGCAACGCCGCGUGGGUGAAGGAGCGUUUCGGCGCGUAAAGCCCUGUCAGCGGGGAAGAAGAAAGACGGUACCCGACCAAGAAGCCCCGGCUAACUACGUGCCAGCAGCCGCGGUGAUACGUAGGGGGCAAGCGUUAUCCGGAUUUACUGGGUGUAAAGGGAGCGUAGACGGAAUUGCAAGUCUGAUGUGAAAAUCCGGGGCCCAACCCCGGAACUGCAUUGGAAACUGUAUUUCUAGAGUGUCGGAGAGGCAAGUGGAAUUCCUGGUGUAGCGGUGAAAUGCGUAGAUAUCAGGAGGAACACCAGUGGCGAAGGCGGCUUGCUGGACGAUGACUGACGUUGAGGCUCGAAAGCGUGGGGAGCAAACAGGAUUAGAUACCCCCGUAU
rnacentral:rRNA from 1 species